AUUGAACGCUGGCGGCAGGCUCAACACAUGCAAGUCGAGCGGGGUGAUGGUGCUUGCACUAUCACUUAGCGGCGGACGGGUGAGUAAUGCUUAGGAAUCUGCCUAUUAGUGGGGGACAACAUCUCGAAAGGGAUGCUAAUACCGCAUACGUCCUACGGGAGAAAGCAGGGGAUCACUUGUGACCUUGCGCUAAUAGAUGAGCCUAAGUCGGAUUAGCUAGUUGGUGCGGUAAAGGCCUACCAAGGCGACGAUCUGUAGCGGGUCUGAGAGGAUGAUCCGCCACACUGGGACUGGGACACGGCCCAGACUCCUACGGGAGGCAGCAGUGGGGAAUAUUGGACAAUGGGGGGAACCCUGAUCCAGCCAUGCCGCGUGUGUGAAGAAGGCCUUAUGGUUGUAAAGCACUUUAAGCGAGGAGGAGGCUCUUUUGGUUAAUACCCAAGAUGAGUGGACGUUACUCGCAGAAUAAGCACCGGCUAACUCUGUGCCAGCCGCCGCCGUAA
rnacentral:rRNA from 1 species